AGAAUCAACGCUGGCGGCGUGCCUAACACAUGCAAGUCGAACGAGAAAGUGGAGCAAUCCAUGAGUAAAGUGGCGCACGGGUGAGUAACACGUGACUAACCUACCCUCGAGUGGGGAAUAACUUCGGGAAACCGAGGCUAAUACCGCAUAAAAACCUAAGGUCAAAGGAGCAAUCCGUUUGAGGAGGGGUCGCGGCAGAUUAGUUAGUUGGCGGGGUAAUGGCCCACCAAGACGAUGAUCUGUA
rnacentral:rRNA from 1 species